rnacentral:rRNA from 1 species
UACAGAGGGUGCGAGCGUUGUCCGGAAUCACUGGGCGUAAAGGGCGCGUAGGCGGCUCGGUCAGCGUGCGGUGAAAGCCCGGGGCUCAACCCCGGGUCGGCCGUGCGAACUGCUGGGCUGGAGCACUGUAGAGGCAGGUGGAAUUCCGGGUGUAGCGGUGGAAUGCGUAAGAGCGCGAAGAACACCGGUGGCGAAGGCGGCCUGCUGGGCAGUAGCUGACGCUGAUGCGCGACAGCGUGGGGAGCAAACAGG